rnacentral:SRP_RNA from 1 species
CAUUGGUCUCCUCGCGACGAUAAACCGUUAACCCAGCCAGGUCCGGAAGGAAGCAACUGUAGCGGUGAUCUCGGGCGCCGAGGGUCGGCUGAUGUGG